UUUGAAAACUUAAAAUAAUAUGGAAAGAUAAGGGCUUAGCCCUCUGCACCAAAAUCGGACUGAUGCGCUCUCUGGUCAUGGCCACAUUUUUAUAGGCUUGCGAGUCUUGGACGCCGACUGCAGAGCUAGAGAGGAGGAUCCUAGCAAUGGAAUUGAGAUGCUACAGAAGGAUCCUAGGCAUCACAUUUAAAGACCGCAUCACAAACCAAGAAAUCAGAGACAGGGUUACUGUAGCGAUCGGAGCCCACGACGACCUGCUAACUAUUGUAAAAAGACGAAAACUUGAAACCUUUGGCCACAUUACAAGAUCUACGGGGCUCGCAAAAACCUUCCUUCAGUGAACAGUGCCAGGAAAAGAAGAAGAGGCAGACAGAAAAAGCGAUGGGAGGACAACAUUAAAGAAUGGACGGGCCUGCCAUUGAGAGAGG